rnacentral:rRNA from 1 species
AUUGAACGCUGGCGGCAUGCCUUACACAUGCAAGUCGAACGGUAACGCGGGGCAACCUGGCGACGAGUGGCGAACGGGUGAGUAAUGCAUCGGAACGUGCCUGGUAGUGGGGGAUAACUGCUCGAAAGAGCAGCUAAUACCGCAUACGACCUGAGGGUGAAAGGGGGGGAUCGCAAGACCUCUCGCUAUCAGAGCGGCCGAUGUCGGAUUAGCUAGUUGGUGGGGUAAAGGCUCACCAAGCCAACGAUCUGUAGCUGGUCUGAGAGGACGACCAGCCACACUGGGACUGAGACACGGCCCAGACUCCUACGGGAGGCAGCAGUGGGGAAUUUUGGACAAUGGGCGCAAGCCUGAUCCAGCCAUGCCGCGUGCGGGAAGAAGGCCUUCGGGUUGUAAACCGCUUUUGUCAGGGAAGAAAAGACUCCUGUUAAUACCGGGGGUUCAUGACGGUACCUGAGGAAUAAGCACCGGCUAACUACGUGCCAGCCGCCGCAGUAAAAC